CCAAUAGCGUAUAUUAAAGUUGUUGCAGUUAAAAAGCUCGUAGUUGAAUUUCGGAAUCAGUACGUUGGUCGUGCCUUCGGUAUGCACUGGCGUCACUGGCUCCUCCUUUCUGAAGAACCGUGAUGUCAUUAAUUUGGUGUUGCGGGGAAUCAGGACUGUUACUUUGAAAAAAUUAGAGUGUUUAAAGCAGGCUCACGCUUGAAUACAUUAGCAUGGAAUAAUGAAAUAGGACGUUUGAUUCUAUUUUGUUGGUUUCUAGGAUCGACGUAAUGAUUAAUAGGGAUAGUUGGGGGCAUUAGUAUUCAAUUGUCAGAGGUGAAAUUCUUGGAUUUAUUGAAGACUAACUACUGCGAAAGCAUUUGCCAAGGAUGUUUUCAUUAAUCAAGAACGAAAGUUAGGGGAUCGAAGACGAUCAGAUACCGUCGUAGUCUUAACCAUAAACUAUGCCGACUAGGGAUCGGAUGAUGUUAAUUUUAUAAUGACUCAUUCGGCGCCUUACG
rnacentral:rRNA from 1 species